rnacentral:rRNA from 1 species
UACGUAGGUGGCAAGCGUUUGUCCGGAAUUAUUGGGCGUAAAGCGCGCGCAGGCGGUCCUUUAAGUCUGAUGUGAAAGCCCACGGCUCAACCGUGGAAGGUCAUUGGAAACUGGGGGACUUGAGUGCAGAAGAGGAAAGUGGAAUUCCAAGUGUAGCGGUGAAAUGCGUAGAGAUUUGGAGGAACACCAGUGGCGAAGGCGACUUUCUGGUCUGUAACUGACGCUGAGGCGACGAAAGCGUGG